rnacentral:misc_RNA from 1 species
GAUGAAGAACGUAGCGAAAUGCGAUAAGUAAUGUGAAUUGCAGAAUUCAGUGAAUCAUCGUAUCUUUGAACGCACAUUGCGCCCGCCAGUAUUCUGGCGGGCAUGCCUGUUCGAGCGUCAUUUCAACCCUCAAGCCCUGCUUGGUGUUGGGGAUCGGCGUUGCCUCCUCCGUCGUUCGCGGCGGGGUGAGGUCGCCGCCCCCGAAAUGAAUUGGCGGUCUCGUCGCAGCUUUCCUUUGCGUAGUAACAUACCACCUCGCAACCAGGAGCGCGGCGCGGCCACUGCCGUAAAACGCCCAACUUUUUCAAGAGUUGACCUCGAAUCAGGUAGGAAUACCCGCUGAACUUAAGCAUAUCAAUAAGCGGAGGA